GAAGGCUUUUGAGCUCUGGGCCCUGAGCCGAGCCCUUCGCAGUGAAAGGUCCAGACUUGGGAGAGAAAAUAUGUGUCCCCAUCAGCAGAAGAGGAGACUGAUGUUCUGAGAGGAGCGGUUGACCUGCCACAGGUCCCACGGCCCCUUGCAAGUGGAACGGGGACUCCGACCUGGUCUCUUUGAUGGGAGAGGCUGAAAGUCCAAGAUCAAGGUGUCGGCAGGACCAGGCUCUCCGAAGGCCCUGAGGGAGGGUCCUUCCUGCCUUGGCAGAGGAGAGUUUCGUUCGAGCCAAGCUGAGGGCUAGCCCGGAAGCACAGCCUUCACGGAGGAGGAAAGCGCCCGGAGAAGCAUAGCUUUCAGCGAAGUUUAAACUAUUUUGGAACAAAGAACAUACACCAAGCACGACACGGAAAAUGAGACAAUAAUCAUAAGCUGUGCUGUGGAAAUGGAGAUAACCUAUGAGAGGAACUGAGAACAGUGCCUGCACAUACACGUCGUUGUCAUCAUUUCCAACACUGUUGCUGUUACCUGCCCUUCUCCCCCACCCCAUCCCACCCCCUUCCCCCAUCAGCACGUGCAUCUGAGUUUGGGGUCCCAGAAGUACAGUUUUCACUGUUUGUUUCAUAUUUGCAUGAGUUACAAGCAAUAGAA
rnacentral:lncRNA from 1 species